rnacentral:rRNA from 1 species
UGGGGAAUUUUGCGCAAUGGGCUAACGCCUGACGCAGCAACGCCGCGUGGAGGAUGAAGGUCUUUGGAUUGUAAACUCCUGUCAGCAGGGAAAAAGGGAUAGGGCUUAAUACGCCUUAAACUUGAUUGUACCUGCAGAGGAAGCCCCGGCUAACUCUGUGCCAGCAGCCGCGGUAAUACAGAGGGGGCAAGCGUUAUUCGGAAUUAUUGGGCGUAAAGGGCGCGUAGGCGGCUUUUCAAGUGACGGGUGAAAUCCCUCGGCUUAACCGAGGAACUGCCUGUCAGACUGGAAGGCUUGAGACCGGGAGAGGUGAGUGGAAUUCCCAGUGUAGCGGUGAAAUGCGUAGAUAUUGGGAGGAACACCAGUGGCGAAGGCGGCUCACUGGACCGGAACUGACGCUGAGGCGCGAAAGCGUGGGGAGCAAACAG